CUAUCCUCAUGGGUUCUAAUUUGCCUUCUGUCUCUGGUUUUCCUUAUUAAAAGAAAGAUAAAAGUUGGAAAAGGAAACAAGCAGCUUCCUCCAGGCCCUCCUAAGCUUCCAAUAAUAGGCAACCUGCAUCAACUUGGACGACAACCUCACCGUUCUUUGUGUCAAUUUUCCAAGAGAUAUGGUGUUGUACCUACUGUUGUGAUAUCCUCAGCUGAGGCAGCAGAAGAAGUCUUGAAGAUUCAUGAUAUUCAUUGUUGCAGUAGACCUGCUUUAGCUGGUGCAAGAAAACUUUCAUACAAUUCCUCAGACAUAUCUUUUUCACCAUAUGGCGAAUAUUGGAGACACAUCAGAAAAAUCAGUGUUAUAGAGCUUUUCAGCAUCAAAAGGGUGCAGUCUUUUCGCUUCAUCCGGGAAGAAGAAGUUACUUCACUCAUCGAUUCAAUCUCUCGAGCAUCAGCUUCUGCAACUCCUAUUUCUCUGACUCAGAAUUUGAUGACUCUUCUUGCAAAUAUAGCAUUUAGAAUGGCUUUCGCGACAAACUUUGAGGCAACUGCUUUUGCUAAGGAUAGAUUUAAGAUAUUAAUUGAUGAUGCUGUGACCUUGCUGGGAAGCUUCUCCGCAAGUGAUUAUUUUCAUCGUGUAGGUUGGAUUAUUGACAGAAUUACCGGUUAUCAUGCCAGGUCAGAGCGAGUUUUCCAAGAAUUGAACACAUUCUACGAGCAGAUAAUUGAUGAGCACCUGAAACUUGGUGGGAAGCUAAACAAAGGACACGAAGACAUUGUUGAUGUGCUACUCAGAAUAGAGAGGGAUCAAGCUGAAAUUGGUUCACUUCAGCUUACGAAAGAUCGUAUUAAGGCAGUUCUCAUGGUAUGCUGUCUGUACUCUCCUCAACUUAUGAAACUUAAUUUUAUAUCAUUUGUCUUACCCUUUAGGUUUUGUAUAUAUAUAAGUUAUUUUUGUUUUUCGUUAGCCCUCUUCACGUGUUUGGACAUCAGGCCAGCUAUGUUUGCCAAACCUGGCCUGAUAACACUAGGUGAAGUUGAGCUCUGACGGUGUUUUAAACAGUUCUAUUUUAUCUUGAUGUCUGCUUUGUUUUGCUUGUGAUUUUCUUGAAUUAGGAUUUAUUAUUGGCUGGAUUACAACUGUUUCUGAUACCCUAGUAUGGGCUAUGGCUGAGCUUGCUAGGAAACCAAGAACGAUGGAAAAAGCUCAAGAAGAAGUUAGAAAUUUAAUAGGAAACAAAAGGAGAGUUAGAAAAAGUGACAUUCACAAGCUGCAUUAUCUCAAAAUGGUAAUAAAAGAAACUCUUAGAUUACACCCUCCUCUUCCACUGCUAGUACCAGGAGAAACCAUGUCGAAAUUUAAAAUCAACGGCUAUGAAAUUUAUCCGAAAAUACUGAUCCAAGUCAAUGUUUGGGCAAUUGGACGAGACCCUAACUACUGGAAGAACCCAGAAGAAUUCUUACAUGAAAGAUUUAUGGAUAGCUCAAUUGACUUUAAAGAACAGAAUUUCGAGUUCUUACCAUUUGGGGGUGGUAGAAGAACUUGUCCUGCACAAUACAUGGGGACUAUAUCAUUGGAGCUUGUACUUGCAAAUUUGCUAUAUUUUUUCGAUUGGAAGCUACCAAAUGAUGUUACAGAUAUCAACAUGGAAGAGAGAGAUGGUCCUAGUCUUACUGUAUCAAAAAUGGAAGAUCUCAAACUUGUACCUCUCAAUUACAUGGAGUUUUAGUGGUAGUCAUCCUUAGAUGAUAAGAUGAUAGGAUAUGUGUGAUUGUGAUUACAGUACUUAGGCUGCCUUUCCUUGUCGCAACAAAUGAAAUGUAUUUUGUUGGGAGACGUGGUAGGUAAAUACAAAAUAUUAGUAAAUAUUAAUUGUCAUAAUUUUUUACAUUAUUUCAAUUAAAUAAGUGUUAUUUAAUUGAACAAUAAUUUACAUAGUAGUUUAUGGUCUAAUCACACACAAGUAUAUUCAAACAUUAAAAUUAAAAGUUAUGGUCACUAUGGAUGAGAAAACAAUUACGGUAACUAACAUUUUGAAAUUAUUUGAUUUAAACACUUCAAAGUUAAUAUAAUAAAAUUUAGAUAUUAAGAAUUUUUCAAAAAAGUAAUUUAAAGAUUAAGAAGCAAGUAAUUGGUUAAAAAAAAAUUAAAAGCAUGAUGAAUAACAUUAGAUAAGACUCGAUUCUAUUUUUUUUACUUUAAAAUAAUUGUAUAUUUAUCCGUAAGUCUUUAGUUAAUUUUUAAGUAAGAGUAUUUAUAUUGCACUAUUUAUAUAUCAAAUCUUUUUAUUUAAAAAAAAUUAUCGCAUAAAAUGAAAUUCUAAAGUAAAGUGAAUUCUAUUGUUUAUUUUGAUUUUAUUAAAUAUAUUAGAAUUUUGAUACAUUAUUAGAAUUUUUAAUUAUAUUUUUUUUAUUAGUAAAAACUUAGAAAGAAAAUAUAAAAUUAUUAAUAAAAUAUAAAGAGUUGAUUAAAUUUAAAUAUAAAAUAGAGAAUUGAAUUGUCACAUUUAAAGAGUUCAUUGGAGCCACUUGGGACCAACAGUAAUACAUCUUUCCCCCAAUCUAUAGAGGUUUCUAUGUGAAAUUCCUUGUCGUAACCAAACUUGCUGUUCAUGCCAAUCAACAACUCACUUCAAUGCACUAAGGCCUAUUUGGCGUUAAAAAAAUAGGUUUAUUUUCCUUUUUUAAUUUGAUGUAAUUCGUAGCUUUGGCCCCUCUUUGUGGUUCUACUGCUCAUACAGUUCAUGCUUGCUGCGAUUUCCGCUAUGGCUUGGAUUCUUGGCACUUAACAAAAAGAGAAAGAAAAAACUAUCAAUAUCAUACAGAGUUAUGGCUGCUAACACAAACUAAAGAACAGUUAGAGUACAACUCUUUAUUUACCACGUUCAACGGUUUCUUGGAGAUGUCUUCUUCCUUCAUACAAUCAACCUUAUCUCCAAAUCCCUCAAGAAUAGCUGAAUCGAUCUUGCAUAUGAUGUCACUAAUUUUGAUUGUAUUCACAAAUAUCAAAUCAGCAAUCAUCAUCCCAUGUCACUAAUUUUGAUUGUAUUCAAAGAUCAUCAUCUCGUGACGACUGAUGUGUUGUAAAUUUAUAGCCAUAGGUAAGAUAUAAGUGAUAUACUUAUCGUAUCACUUAUUCUUUUACCCGUAAAUUUAUAAUUUUGAAAGAGAGAUUUAUUUUAGCAAAAGCUAAAGCUAAAGCUACAAUGUCUAUGAAUCCGCUAUCCUUAUGGGUUCUAAUUUUCCUUCUGUCUCUGGUUUUCCUUAUUAAAAGAAAGAUAGAAGUUGGAAAAGGAAACAAGCAGCUUCCUCCAGGCCCUCCUAAGCUUCCAAUAAUAGGCAACCUGCAUCAACUUGGACGACAACCUCACCGUUCUUUGUGGCAACUUUCCAAGAGAUAUGGUCCUGUCAUGUUUCUCCAAUAUGGUGCUGUACCUACUGUCGUGAUAUCCUCAGCCGAGGCAGCAG
rnacentral:lncRNA from 1 species